rnacentral:rRNA from 1 species
GUGUCAGCCGCCGCGGUAAUACGUAGGGUGCAAGCGUUAAUCGGAAUUACUGGGCGUAAAGCGUGCGCAGGCGGUUUGGUAAGUCAGAUGUGAAAUCCCCGGGCUCAACCUGGGAACUGCGUUUGAAACUACAAGGCUUGAGUGUAGCAGAGGGGGGUAGAAUUCCUCGUGUAGCAGUGAAAUGCGUAGAUAUUCGGAGGAAUACCGAUGGCGAAGGCAAUCUCCUGGGCCUGCACUGACGCUCAUGCACGAAAGCGUGGGGAGCGAACAGGAUUAGAUACCCUGGUAGUCCACGCCGUAA